CCUACGGGUGGCUGCAGUGGGGAAUAUUGGACAAUGGGGGGAACCCUGAUCCAGCCAUGCCGCGUGUGUGAAGAAGGCCCUCGGGUUGUAAAGCACUUUCAGUGAGGAAGAACGCCUGGUGGUUAAUACCCAUCAGGAAAGACAUCACUCACAGAAGAAGCACCGGCUAACUCCGUGCCAGCAGCCGCGGUAAUACGGAGGGUGCGAGCGUUAAUCGGAAUUACUGGGCGUAAAGCGCGCGUAGGUGGCUUGAUAAGCCGGUUGUGAAAGCCCCGGGCUCAACCUGGGAACGGCAUCCGGAACUGUCAAGCUAGAGUGCAGGAGAGGAAGGUAGAAUUCCCGGUGUAGCGGUGAAAUGCGUGGAGAUCGGGAGGAAUACCAGUGGCGAAGGCGGCCUUCUGGACUGACACUGACACUGAGGUGCGAAAGCGUGGGUAGCAAACAGGAUUAGAUACCCUAGUAGUC
rnacentral:rRNA from 1 species